rnacentral:rRNA from 1 species
UACGUAGGGUGCAAGCGUUUGUCCGGAAUUAUUGGGCGUAAAGAGCUCGUAGGCGGCUUGUCGCGUCGGCUGUGAAAACCUGGGGCUCAACCCCGGGCCUGCAGCCGAUACGGGCAAGCUAGAAUUCGGUAGGGGAGACUGGAAUUCCUGGUGUAGCGGUGAAAUGCGCAGAUAUCAGGAGGAACACCGGUGGUGUAGACGGCUCUCUGGACCGUAACUGACGCUGAGACACGAAAGCGUGGGUAGCAAACAGG